rnacentral:snoRNA from 1 species
AACCCAUGGUGAGGGCACCUUCUUAGUAAGUCCUUAUAUCUCUCCCAUGCAUCGUAAAGUGUUUCUAAAUCCAUCUUCACAAAAGAAGAGAUAUCAUUACGUAAUUU